UCGAACCAAGUCUACCAGACUGUCAGGUGUGAAAACACCCUAAGUUAAAAUGGGUUAUGCGACCCAGUUACUGCACUUUUAAAUUUUCCAGUCUGACAGUUUUGCUUUUUUUCAGUUGGAUGGAUGUAACAUAUAUCGAUAUCACCGAAUCCUGGCACUUUAACAUCAUUAUGUAGACUUUUUACUCUUUAUUUAACAUUUCCUAUUUCACUAGUCAAAGAUGAACCUUAAAGUCUUUGUCAAAGUGUUAAUUCUACCCAGAGAAGCCUAAAAUGAAGCGUUUCCCCAUUUUUUAAAACAUAUCUUGUUUUACUGAAAUGUGUUGCACGAAUCAUUGAUUUAGCACUUCUUACUCUGUUACCUUUCCUUAAUUGCUGUGAUCUUUCACUUGUCAGAAACCACAAUAAAUCAUUUUAUAUCGGCAUAUGAAAUGGGAUAAAGAUGAACGGUCCUGCUGAGUUGCAUGAUUUAGGAAAGAAAAUGUUCCGAUCCACUUCCUGUUCUGGCGCCUUAAGAAUGAAAGUGACAUCAAAUUCGUUAUUGCGACAUUACAAAUGAGAGAUUAGAGGGGAGAAGGAGGGGAAUGAUGCAACCAGAGUGCAAGUAUCAGGAUAUCAGCCUGCUGGAUCAGACGUACGGGACGUAUCGGCACAGCAGUUUGCUUAGUGUUUUGGAUCUUUGUGGAGCGUCUAGUGAAGCUAAAUGAAAACAUAUUGAGUCCCGAAGGUUGAAACACAAACCAGCAGGACAUUGCGGAAGAUCUGAUGGAAAACCAAGGACAGCGCCUUGAAAUAUUGAGGUCAUAUGAACUUUUCUCCACAUUUUUUUUUUUUUAUGCUAUAACCAGAUUUUGGUCCCAAAUCGAACCGAGUCUACCAACAACAACAACCCCAAACUUUAACCGAGAGCAUAUUGGUGUGCCAAGGUGGCCGAGUCAAUCUCCAGGCGUUGAUCCAAUUGAGAAUCUGCGGCAAAACGUGAAGACUGGUUGACGUCCGCCAUCGAAUCAGUAGAAAAGAGGCGGAGAAAAUGUCACUGUGUCUGUAAAGCUGUUUGGAGUCAGACGCAGAAUGACUCCAGACGUUUGCUCCACAAACAGUUGAAUAAUGAGGGACAAAAACAAUUUUACACCCAAAAAAUUAAAAAACAAAAUCUGAAUAUAUAGCUACCCACCAGACUGUUUUGGUCUAUCACAUAUAAAAUCCUAAUGAGGUACAUGGAAGUUUGCGGACGUAGCACAGCAAAAAGCCGAAGGAUGUGAAUACUCUCUCGUGUCGCCACGGCAAAUAAAAACACAGUUUGACAUUUAGAAGUACAGCGCUUAUUGGUUCGUCCAAACAAAAGCAGAGAAAGAGAAAGCUGCAGGAAGCGCUUCGCCUGGGACAAUGGUUGCAGAAUAAAAGCAAAGCUGAAGUACUGGUUUUUACAAAAGGUGUAAAAAUAGCUGCAGAACUAAUGGCUUGAAUCAGAAAAUAAAAGUACUGCAGGAGAACAAGCUCUUUCCCUUUGUACUAAAUAAUAUUUGUGAGAUUUACCUUUACAUUUUCGACACAAAGACAAGUAGAAAGCCAGCAAAGCAUCUCCUGUGACUGUGUCUGUUUUGUUUUGUUUUGGAGCAGUUUAACUUUCUCUCAGCCCAUAAAUCCACAAUAUUAGGUGCAGUUUUGAGACCAAGAAUUUCCUCCAUUAAAAAAAAGAAAAAAAGAAAUACAUGUGUGUAUAUAUAAACAACUAAAACAGCAGCCUGAAGCUGUUUCUGCUGCUUCGCUUGCCUUAACUCUGUCUGACCAGCACCGUUGUCACCAGGUCCCAGUGGAGCUGCUUCCUCCACGCCGUACAAACACACAGCCGUGCUCCGGCGGGAAGCGGCCGCAUCUAAAGUCAACAUGGCCGCCGCGUUCCCAGGCUUUGGAAAUUAAAAGGCGUAAUUAGGACUGCUGACAUCUGAUGGCCGAGCUGCAGGACGGGAUAUCAAUAUGGCAGCGUGUUUGUCUACAGGCUUCCUUGGAGAGGCGGGGUUCACCCUGGACAGGUCGCCAGUCCGUCGCAGGGCAACACAGAGACAGGACAAACAACCACACCUAAGGAGAAUUGAGAGAGCUCAAUCAACCUGACAGUCUUGGUCUUGGACUGUGGGAGGAAGCCAGAGUACCCGGAGAAAACCCACAGCAUGCACAGGGAGAACAUGCAAACUCCAUGCAGAAAGACCCUGGGUCGGGAUUCGAACCCAGGACCUUGUGUUUUAAAUUUUGUUAUGAAAUGUGGUGAAAUUUAGCUUGUGUCCAGUUUGUGUGCGGUCUGCAGAGAUUUCAGCUACUCUGUGGAAGCGCUGUGUGGAGGGAAGGUCCGCCCUGGCAAUCAUCUCUGCAGGCCUAAUUUGCUUGUUGUUGUGUGGACCCGACACGUUUUGUGGAACGAGCCAAACCACACGGCGACGGAGGGGAACAGGAGAGCCUGAAUAAUUGGCAGCGUAGACGAUGACCAGCUGCUCCUGUGGGACGUUGUACUUCAUAAAGGAUGCGCAGUCCACAAUGUGAGGAUCAUCUCCGUUGGGUUAUAGAUUGGACUUUUUCUACCCUUUUAAUAAAUGAAACAUUCGUUUAAAAAUCUA